GACGAACGCUGGCGGCGUGCUUAACACAUGCAAGUCGAACGGAAAGGCCCUGCUUGCCGGGUACUCGAGUGGCGAACGGGUGAGUAACACGUGGGUGAUCUGCCCUGCACUUCGGGAUAAGCCUGGGAAACUGGGUCUAAUACCGGAUAGGAGCCAUUUUUAGUGUGAUGGUUGGAAAGUUUUUUCGGUGUAGGAUGAGCUCGCGGCCUAUCAGCUUGUUGGUGGGGUAAUGGCCUACCAAGGCGGCGACGGGUAGCCGGCCUGAGAGGGUGGACGGCCACAUUGGGACUGAGAUACGGCCCAGACUCCUACGGGAGGCAGCAGUGGGGAAUAUUGCACAAUGGGCGCAAGCCUGAUGCAGCGACGCCGCGUGGGGGAUAACGGCCUUCGGGUUGUAAACUCCUUUCGCUAGGGACGAAGCUUUUGUGACGGUACCUAGAGAAGAAGCACCGGCUAACUACGUG
rnacentral:rRNA from 1 species